rnacentral:rRNA from 1 species
AGAGUUUGAUCAUGGCUCAGAUUGAACGCUGGCGGCAGGCCUAACACAUGCAAGUCGAACGGUAGCACAGAGAGCUUGCUCUUGGGUGACGAGUGGCAGACGGGUGAGUAAUGUCUGGGAAACUGCCCGAUGGAGGGGGAUAACUACUGGAAACGGUAGCUAAUACCGCAUAAUCUCUAAGGAGCAAAGCAGGGGAACUUCGGUCCUUGCGCUAUCGGAUGAACCCAUAUGGGAUUAGCUAGUUGGUGAGGUAAUGGCUCACCAAGGCGACGAUCCCUAGCUGGUCUGAGAGGAUGAUCAGCCACACUGGGACUGAGACACGGCCCAGACUCCUACGGGAGGCAGCAGUGGGGAAUAUUGCACAAUGGGCGCAAGCCUGAUGCAGCCAUGCCGCGUGUGUGAAGAAGGCCUUCGGGUUGUAAAGCACUUUCAGCGAGGAGGAAAGGUUGAUGCCUAAUACGUAUCAACUGUGACGUUACUCGCAGAAGAAGCACCGGCUAACUCCGUGCCAGCCGCCGCGGUAAUUC